GAUGAACGCUGGCGGCGUGCCUAAUACAUGCAAGUCGAGCGAACGGACGAGAAGCUUGCUUCUCUGAUGUUAGCGGCGGACGGGUGAGUAACACGUGGAUAACCUACCUAUAAGACUGGGAUAACUUCGGGAAACCGGAGCUAAUACCGGAUAAUAUUUUGAACCGCAUGGUUCAAAAGUGAAAGACGGUCUUGCUGUCACUUAUAGAUGGAUCCGCGCUUCAUUAGCUAGUUGGUAAGGUAACGGCUUAACAAGGCAACGAUGCAUAGCCGACCUGAGAGGGUGAUCGGCCACACUGGAACUGAGACACGGUCCAGACUCCUACGGGAGGCAGCAGUAGGGAAUCUUCCGCAAUGGGGGAAAGCCUGACGGAGCAACGCCGCGUGAGUGAUGAAGGUCUUCGGAUCGUAAAACUCUGUUAUUAGGGAAGAACAUAUGUGUAAGUAACUGUGCACAUCUUGACGGUACCUAAUCAGAAAGCCACGGCUAACUACGUG
rnacentral:rRNA from 1 species